UGGGGAAUAUUGCACAAUGGGCGCAAGCCUGAUGCAGCGACGCCGCGUGGGGGAUGACGGCCUUCGGGUUGUAAACUCCUUUCGCCAGGGACGAAGCGUUUUGUGACGGUACCUGGAGAAGAAGCACCGGCUAACUACGUGCCAGCAGCCGCGGUAAUACGUAGGGUGCAAGCGUUGUCCGGAAUUACUGGGCGUAAAGAGCUCGUAGGUGGUUUGUCACGUCGUCUGUGAAAUUCCACAGCUUAACUGUGGGCGUGCAGGCGAUACGGGCUGACUUGAGUACUGUAGGGGUAACUGGAAUUCCUGGUGUAGCGGUGAAAUGCGCAGAUAUCAGGAGGAACACCGAUGGCGAAGGCAGGUUACUGGGCAGUUACUGACGCUGAGGAGCGAAAGCAUGGGUAGCAAACAGGAUUAGAUACCCUGGUAGUCCAUGCCGUAAACGGUGGGCGCUAGGUGUAGGGGCCUUUUGGGGUUUCUGUGCCGUAGCUAACGCAUUAAGCGCCCCGCCUGGGGAGUACGGCCGCAAGGUUA
rnacentral:rRNA from 1 species